UACACGGCCUGUAAUGCAUACUCUGACUCGGACUAUGGCCUUAGCUCAAUUGGACUGCAUGUACCAACUCUCUCACUGCAUCUUUCAAUUUGUUGUGCCUGUCAUGAUGCCACCAAAGGGAACGAGGCUCAAACCGCGGGAUGCACCGCCAGCUCACCGUGACAUGGAAUAUAAAACAAGAUCCAGUCAGCUUGCAGGAGGAAGAAGAAGAGAGAGGCCAGUGUGGGUGUCAGGAUGAGACCAGAACAGGACCAGCCAUAACAGAUGAGUCAUAUACACACUCACACAUAUUGGAUAUCUGAAAAAGCUUAAUGUAAAAGCCAAUAGCCCUAAAUAUGAUAGAAAUGCUUCAUUAAGUACAGGAGACAUGUUGGAAGGAGAGACAUUGUCAUGCAAUGGCUGCUCGAGUCUGUAGAGCGGUAGGAGAAAUAACAGCGCUUUUACAAAUGUCUGAUUGUAGCUCGCUGCUAAAUACAUCAACACAACUGUGAUAUUAACAGCAAAGAUGCUGAAACCGUAGGCUGUACAUUCGAAAUCCAAGUAGUCGUCUUCGUUCAUCAUGUACCCAACUGUCAAUAAUCCUGAUGUCCACUCAUAUGUGCUGUGAUUUAUCAUCUAUUUCCCUCUUAACAGUAACAGAAUUAAACUGGCAAUCCUGAAACCCUUAAGUGGUAACUGGUCAUGGCAUCAUCCACAAUCUGAAUUAUGU